GAAAUGCGAUAAGUAGUGUGAAUUGCAGAAUUCAGUGAAUCAUCGAAUCUUUGAACGCACAUUGCGCCCCUUGGUAUUCCAUGGGGCAUGCCUGUUCGAGCGUCAUUUGUACCCUCAAGCUCUGCUUGGUGUUGGGUGUUUGUCCCCGUCUCCGCGCGUGGACUCGCCCCAAAGUGAUUGGCAGCCGGCGUACUGGUCCCGGAGCGCAGCACAUGUCGCGCAAACGAGUGCCUUGGUACGGCGGCGUCCAUAAGCCCCUCUCUCACGCUCUUGACCUCGGAUCAGGUAGUGAUACCCGCUGAACUUAAGC
rnacentral:misc_RNA from 1 species